rnacentral:rRNA from 1 species
CCUACGGGUGGCAGCAGUGAGGAAUAUUGGUCAAUGGACGGAAGUCUGAACCAGCCAUGCCGCGUGCAGGAAGACGGCUCUAUGAGUGGUAAACUGCUUUUGUACAGGGGUAAACCUGAAUACGUGUAUUCAGCUGAAAGUACUGUACGAAUAAGGAUCGGCUAACUCCGUGCCAGCAGCCGCGGGAAUACGGAGGGUGCAAGCGUUAUCCGGAAUUAUUGGGGGUAAAGGGUGCGGAGGCGGAUGUAUAAGUUAGAGGUGAAAUGUCGGAGCUUAACUCGGGAACUGCCUCCAAUACUGUUGUCCUAGAGAGUAGAUGAGGUAGGCGGAAUGUAUGGUGUAGCGGUGAAAUGCUUAGAGAUUAUACAGAACACCGAUUGCGAAGGCAGCUUACUAAUCUAUAUCUGACGUUGAGGCACGAAAGCGUGGGGAGCAAACAGGAUUAGAUACCCCUGUAGUC